rnacentral:rRNA from 1 species
AAAUCUUACCGGGUCCGGACACACUGAGGAUUGACAGGCAAAAUUAUUUAUAUGCUUAAUAUUUUUUUAUUAGGUAUUUUAUAUGCAAAUAUGCUAGUCCUUUCAUGAUUAUGUGAUAGGUGGUGCAUGGCCGUUCUUAGUUCGUGGAGUGAUCUGUCUGCUUAAUUGCGUUUCACCAAGGGCUUAUAAAAAACGUACGUUGCGGCGUCUCGAUCCCGCUUUUUACUAAGUGUGUGGUCUUUGCGUUUUGCGCGUACAAAUAGGCCCUGAAAGCAACGAACGUGACCGCAACCUCUUGUUGCCUUUAUUCCAAAUAGCGCGGUUUGGCGCGGGAUUUAUCCAACGCCUUAUUGUGCUAAAAAAGAGGCUUAGAAACUAGAGGGACCGCUGUAUCUUCUUUAAACCAGAGGAAGGUUGCGGCAAUAA